UACGUAGGGUGCAAGCGUUAAUCGGAAUUACUGGGCGUAAAGGGCGCGUAGGCGGUCAGCACAAGUCAGUUGUGAAAUCUCCGGGCUUAACUCGGAAAGGUCAACUGAUACUGUGCGACUAGAGUGCGGAAGGGGCAACUGGAAUUCUCGGUGUAGCGGUGAAAUGCGUAGAUAUCGUAAGGAAGACCAGUGGCGAAGGCGGGUCUCUGGACAGUUCCUGACGCUGAGGCACGAAGGCCAGGGGAGCAAACGGG
rnacentral:rRNA from 1 species